GUGUGAGAGUGCUGUGUGUGAUGGGUGUGAGUGAUGUGUGUGAUAGUGCUGUGAGUGAGAGUGCUGUGUGUGAUGGGUGUGAGUGGUGUGUGAGAGUGCUGUGUGUGAGAGUGCUCUCUCACACACAGCACUCUCACACACAGCACUCACACCCAUCACACACAGCACUCUCACUCACAGCACCCACACCCAUCACACACAGCACUCUCACACACAGCACUCUCACUCACAUCACACACAGCACUCUCACAC